UAAAUAUUAACCAAUGUAAGCAUUUUGUAUAUCCACUUAACAUGAAUCUAUCUAAAUGAUAGAAACAACAUUUUCUUCCUCAACAAGACCCAAAUCCAACACCAGGCGGAAAAAAAAUAAAGUAAAAAGAGGCUAAAUACGGAUAUCUUGAAAAACACACAGCACAUUUCAGAAAGUUUACAUUUAUUUGUAGAUUGAAAUGAUCUGGCAAUGCCCACAAUUCCAACUCCUGACACGCUAUGCGGGUGUGUGUCUGAGUGAGAUGGUUUUAUACCCCAACGCGGGGGCUGUGACGUAGACAUCAACCACGCUUUACCUUUUGUAACACACGGGAAAAUUCAACUGUAGUAGCCAUUGUUCAACCCAAAGAUGGCAGCACUAAGACGGUUGUAGGCCAAAUGUUGCAGAAUUGUCCAAAUAAAAUUUCAAAAUUUGCACAUUGACAUGAAGAUGGCACCCUUAAGGCCCGAUUUCUACAGUUUAUCUGCAAAUAAAUUGAUUUAUUGUUUAGCUACUAUUUAAAUGUAAAAGUAAAGGCUGAAUAUAGAAUAGGAUAGAAAUACUCUAUGGUCCAGCAGCAGGGGUUUGAACAUUUAUACAGUUUGUUGGGAGCAGUGAUGGUUAUAAAGUCUAACAGCUACACAGAAGGACCUGUGAAUAACGCUCCUUUGUGCACCUAGGAUGCAGUAGUCUGUAACUGAAGGAGUUCUCCAGAUCUGCAACAGCUUUAUGAAUGGGAUGGGACACAACAGUGAUGCUGUUUCUUUCUAGAGUGCUGUCUCCCACCAACUGCACAGGGUCAAGGUGCAUCCUAGGGCAGAGUUGGCCUUCCUGAUAAGCUUAUCUAACUGCUUCCUCUCAGUUGUAGAUAAGCUGCUUUUCAAACAAAAACUACACCAUAGAAGAUGGCUGAUGCCACCACAGAGUCAAAAAAGGUCUUCAGGUCUGCUCUGACCCUUCCUAUAAAGAGCAUCAGUGUUGUGUCUCUAGUCCGGCUCUUUGUUCACGUGAACACCCAGGUGCUUAGAAGAGUCCACUAUCUCAAUGUCAGUUCCCUGAAUGUUCACCGGUGUCAGUGUGGUGGGUCUGCACCUCCGGAAAUCCACCACCUUCUGCGAAGUCCUGUGUCCACUGUCUGUACUCCGAGUCGUCCUCACCUGUGAUGGGGCCCUCUUACUGCAGACCAGCCUGCCAGAAAGACAAGCCUGUGUACUCGCAUACUGUGGGCGGCCAGUGAGAUAGUGCAGUAUGCACUGGGACAAAUGGUCCUCGCCUGAAAGCUCCAGCUUGUGCCUCAGAAUUCCAGACCAUAUGCCCUCACCAGGGGGCGAAGAUGGUUGAGGGCCGGCCUCUCGAGGGAGGUCUUCCACAA